GACAGAGGGUGCAAACGUUGUUCGGAAUUACUGGGCGUAAAGCGUGCGCAGGCGGUUCGUUUGUGUCGGCGGUGAAAGCCCCGGGCUUAACCUGGGAAUGGCAUUUGGGACUGCAAGGGCUUGAGUGCGGCAGAGGAGACUGGAAUUCCUGGUGUAGCAGUGAAAUGCGUAGAUAUCAGGAGGAACACCGAUGCGAAGGCAGGUCUCUGGGCUGACACUGACGCUCAUGCACGAAAGCGUGGGGGAGCAAACAGG
rnacentral:rRNA from 1 species